CCUACGGGAGGCAGCAGUAGGGAAUCUUCCACAAUGGACGAAAGUCUGAUGGAGCAACGCCGCGUGAGUGAAGAAGGGUUUCGGCUCGUAAAGCUCUGUUGGUAGGGAAGAAAGAUAGAGGUAGUAACUGGCCUUGAGUUGACGGUAAUUACUGAGAAAGGCACGGCUAACUACGUGCCAGCAGCCGCGGUAAUACGUAGGUGGCAAGCGUUGUCCGGAUUUAUUGGGCGUAAAGCGAGGGCAGGCGGUUCAAUAAGUCUGAUGUGAAAGCCUUCGGCUCAACCGGAGAAUUGCAUACGAAACUGUUGAACUUGAGUGCAGAAGAGGAGAGUGGAACUCCAUGUGUAGCGGUGUAAUGCGUAGAUAUCUGGAAGAACCCCAGUGGCGAAGGCGGCUCUCUGGUCUGCAACUGACGCUGAGGCUCGAAAGCCUGGGUAGCGAACAGGAUUAGAUACCCCAGUAGUC
rnacentral:rRNA from 1 species